CCUACGGGUGGCAGCAGUGAGGAAUAUUGGUCAAUGGACGAGAGUCUGAACCAGCCAAGCAGCGUGAAGGAUGACUGCCCUACGGGUUGUAAACUUCUUUUAUAUGGGAAUAAAAUGUUCCACGUGUGGGUUUUUGUAUGUACCAUAUGAAUAAGGAUCGGCUAACUCCGUGCCAGCAGCCGCGGUAAUACGGAGGAUCCGAGCGUUAUCCGGAUUUAUUGGGUUUAAAGGGAGCGUAGGUGGUUUGUUAAGUCAGGUGUGAAAGUUUGCGGCUCAACCGUAAAAUUGCAGUUGAAACUGGCAGUCUUGAGUACGGUAGAGGUAGGCGGAAUUCGUGGUGUAGCGGUGAAAUGCUUAGAUAUCACGAAGAACUCCGAUUGCGAAGGCAGCUCACUGGACUGCAACUGACACUGAGGCUCGAAAGUGUGGGUAUCAAACAGGAUUAGAUACCCCAGUAGUC
rnacentral:rRNA from 1 species